CUAAAUUAGGGUCAUUCUUGAUGAUUUAAUUUGGGGCAAAUUAUAAUUGAUUGGGAUUCAGAGGAGAUGAAUGGGGUUAGAAUAAACAUCGAGGCAGGAACCACAGCAUCUUAGGAAAACAGAGAGAUGAGGGUCUCACGUUGAACGCAGAGUCGUAGUCACGUGUUUGCCACUGUUACAAGCAAGUGGAUACAUAAUAGAGCCAGUCUGUG
rnacentral:lncRNA from 10 species